rnacentral:rRNA from 1 species
UACGGGGGGUGCGAGCGUUGUCCGGAAUCAUUGGGCGUAAAGAGUUCGUAGGCGGUUUGGUAAGUCAGAUGUUAAAGGCGCAGGCUUAACCUGUGUAUGGCAUUUGAUACUGUCAGACUUGAAUGCGGUAGAGGUAAAGGGAAUUCCCGGUGUAGCGGUGAAAUGCUUAGAUAUCGGGAGGAACAUCGGUGGCGUAAGCGCUUUACUGGGCCGUAAUUGACGCUGAGGAACGAAAGCCAGGGUAGCAAAC